rnacentral:tRNA from 1 species
UGCUGGCUUUGAACGGGGUUGAUUUUGCCGCCCUGGUGCGGCGGGCCGAUGUGCGGGCGGCGCGGGUGCUGGUGCUGAAUCCGGUAGUAAACAUC